rnacentral:rRNA from 1 species
AGAGUUUGAUCCUGGCUCAGAUUGAACGCUGGCGGCACGCUUAACACAUGCAAGUCGAGCGGCAGCAUGUACUGGGUAACCGGUAUGAUGGCGAGCGGCGGACGGGUGAGUAAUACGUAGGGAUCUGCCUGAAGAGCGGGAUAACCUUGGGAAACUAGGGCUAAUACCGCAUAAUACUCUGAGGAGGAAAGGCUAGGGUC